GACAGAGGGGGCAAGCGUUGUUCGGAAUCACUGGGCUUAAAGGGCGCGUAGGCGGGCCAUCAAGUCCGGGGUGAAAUCCUUCGGCUUAACCGGAGAAUUGCCUUGGAUACUGGUGGUCUUGAGGGAAGUAGGGGUCUGCGGAACUUCCGGUGGAGCGGUGAAAUGUGUUGAUAUCGGAAGGAACGCCGGUGGCGAAAGCGGCGGACUGGGCUUCUUCUGACGCUGAGGCGCGAAAGCUAGGGGAGCAAACGGG
rnacentral:rRNA from 1 species